rnacentral:lncRNA from 1 species
GCAUACAUUCUUUCCAGCCUAUCUUUAACAUCAGUUGACAAGAAUUAUAUAAUUGCAGUCUGUGAUCCCUUUAAGGCUAAAACGUAUUCGUUUUCCCUCAAAGAACACUUCAGGUUUCAGAGUUAAAUGCAUACAUUUUUUUCCAUCUGGGCUAUUCUGUAAAAAGCUGCUUUCUCCUCAGCUGGCAAGUCCCAUUCUACCAAGUUGCAUGGAUUUAUUUUUUACUGCGGUUUUCAGCUCACAUGUUAACAAGUAGAAGAAAGAGCCUCCAAAUCCCAACCUGUGUUUCCCAUUGCAUUGGAAAAUUAGUGGGUUCCAAAGACCACGCAGGGGGAAUUAUCCUCCUUAGGUGGAACCAAAUAAAAUCUCAGCGUGCUGAUUUAAUCAAAUUAGUGUCUAAUGCUAAUUGAUAGGCAGCCUGGAGACGGACAGGUAGCUGGACUGGAUCUGAUCUCGCAUUUCAGAGGUAUGAUGUAACCCUCUGGGUCAGGAAGGAAUUGCUGUUCUCCUAUCAGAAUGGCAUCUGCCACCAUGCUGUAGGAAGCCGUGGACAUCAGAUACUCAGUUCAGGUUUGCACUGCUUUGAGAACAGCAGCACUCGGACUGUCCGCUCCGAGCCAAAGCGAUGCCCCAGCGGUGCUGAGCACGAUUUUCAUCGCCAGGGGAGAUGAGGACAGGACGGAAAGCAAUCCUUGUGCUUCAUGGAGGUGAGUGCCCAUUUCAGAAGACACAAAGGCUUUUCCCAGAGCUCUGAAGGUCAGAUGCUCACUUUUCCAGCUGAGGAAUUUGGGACUAUUCGUGCUGCCUACCUUUAAGGUGCCUGUUUUGUGUCCCGAAGUGAUGAAGCUCUUCCUUCGAACUUCUGUGCUUCCUCUGGAAUGAACCCUUAGAGACCAGCCUCCCAGAACUGGGUACGAAGAUCAGCGUAUAACUGAAAUGCCAUCUUGCAGAGCACAGUGACCUCUCUGGAGGGCUGUCCUUGGGCUGUGGCUUCAUGCUCCCCUGUCCCACGGGAGACACUGGAUUUCCUUCCUAGCCUGUCUCCCACGGAGCACUUUGGAGUACUUAUGUUUCUGUAGUGCAGGACUAAUCUGGAAAGCAGCUCAGAGCACACGUGGGAAGGUGUCCUAUGCAAAGGCUGCCCUCAAGCACCGCUCUGCAGCCCCAGCUUGGCCAUUCACGGUGCGUUUUGUUUGCCAAACAUAAAUUGAAAUAGGUCUUGAACAAUUGCACUGGCAUGUGUGUGUCUUUUUCUCCAGCCAAGCAGUGAAGGCACCGUGGCUCCUGUUACAGAGCAUGCCAAUACUUGGAACACGCUCCUGCCAAUAUCCCACAUAAAUCACGCCUUAUCCAGCCCUCCUCAGUCCUUCUGGAGAUUCCUACUUCACUGCAAGUGAUAUGUGAUGGAUCUGUGCUUCCUCGGAGCAUCACAUGGCAGGCAGAUCUCAAUAUGCAUAUUUACGCCUGGAGCUGCACCUCGACUCCUUGGGUUGCAUUGCGUAUGUGUAGCGAUUCCACGGCCAAGACUGCUUGCACAGGCUGGCUUGCAACCUCCGCUGCAUCCUUUCUGUGCAUGGUAACGAGGUGCUUUUCUUCUGCCAUGAGACCUACACGUGUCACGCUCGCUUGUGGCAUCGUCCUCAUUGCAGUUCCACGUGGAAGAGCAGAGCCUCCCAUGCCCAGACCCUCCUGCUUGGCCGCUGCCUGAGGAUGCGUGUCUUGCCAAGGUUUUGCCUUAAGCAGAGGAAGGAUGAAAAAUGCAGGGCCAGAGACUUUCUUACAGCUGAAAACCGCUGUCUGCUGCGCUGCUCCUCGGGACAGCACCGAGCAGGGAAACGCCUCCGCCACCCAGCAGUCAUUCUCUUCAUAGUGGGACAAGUGCAGAAUGGUGGAGGGGAAGCUCGGAUGGUGGUCCUGUCCAGGGAGACGCAGCCUCAUGUCUCCCACCCUCCUCCGCUUUGAUGACUGAACAUGUAGGACCGGUAAAACUCAAAUUUCAGAAGGGCUUUUUUUGAUAGUUAUAUAAAGGCAUCUAUUCCCGGAUAAGAUCUUCCAAGCAGAUCUUAUCUGGGAAUUAUUUUUGUGGUAGCAAUGGGGUGAUCAUCACAGAACCAUUAAGGCUGGAAAAGCCCUCUAAGGUAAGCCAGUCCAACUGUUCGCCUGUGACCAAUAUUGACCAUUAACCAUCAUCUCUGCUCUAAGUGGUUAAUCUUAACUGAAGCUAGAACACCUGAAAAGAGACAGCUGUAGUAUUUCUCCAGCUCUGGAGGUGGCAAAAACCUCUCAGCUAAAACAUUUGUAGCAAAUAAAUGGAUGCAGUUGCAGUGAUGUUUAAGCUUAGUGACUUCAUCUCAAUGCAGCUGAAUUAUUGCACUUUGUAUUUUCUGUCCCUCUCCCACACAGCAUGAAACAUUCGUUCCCUAGAAAUUUCCUUUGGUUUUAUUUAAACCAUUAAAAGUAAAACAAAUAGUACCUCCCUCAAGAAACGGCUGAGUUGAGCUAAGCUUCUUGCUCUGCUCCAAAUUUUUGAGAAAUACUGAUUACAUCAAAAUGAAAAUCAGUGUGUUUCGGGUGUUUGAAGGAGAAUUCUUGUUUCCUUUUAUUAUCUGGAGUUCCUCAACGAAAAAAACUACUUCCAAUUGAGCCACCUGGACAGUGAUUUGCAGAUUGAAAACAAACAGAAUCUCAUGGUUAAAGAGGUUCCUGAACGGGGGCAGGUGCUGUUGCAUUGCUCUAGAUUCCACUUGGAGAGCUGAAGGAACCAAAGGCACUGACUCAGAGCGUCUCAGCAGGAUUGAUCCAAUACAGACUGAUGACUGGCGUCUACGUGGAGGGAAAAGCUGAAGUCCUGCUCACAAUGGGCAUGCAAUUGACACUGAAAUCUGCUGGACAGAGAAGGAAUGAAGCGUCCGCUCACAGCCCUGCAGUGGCACAGUGAUACUGAAGGCUUCUCAGGACUCGCUGUGCACUUUGCCUCCCGACCUCCUGUUUUGCUGCAGGACCCCACAGAGCACACCCCUGAAAUCAGCCUUGCACAUACAAGGAGUGAAACCAUGGAGGGGAAGGAGUGACCCCGUGAAGGAGUGGAGACGCCAGAGCUGCAGGGGAGAGGCUGCCUGGGAAGUCAGAUGAGGACAGAAGGCAUCAGCCUUUCCAGGAAAGAACCUGUCCUUGCACAUUUCCUCGUGUCUGGGCUUCAACAACGUGAUUGCGAGCACAUGAGAAGAAGAAAACACCCCCCAUUUUGCUGAGCCCCAGCAGGGUGAACAGAGGGAAAAGGUGCUUCAGGGCAGGAAGAAACUGUGAAGAAACAGGACACUGGGAGAUUUGCUGGAGCUCGCCCAUCUGACCCAAUCCUCCACAUGAGAUCUGGCAAGAUAAUCACUCCAAGCGUCUGGAAAGAAGCCCUUGCUUUCUCCACUGCACCUGAGGAACCAAUGGCAGAUGAUGGAGACAGAAUGGCUCACUGCUCUCAUGGCUGGAGAAGCGGUGGGAAGCUCUUGGCACCACAACCUCUGAGUUAAUGUACUCUGCUCUGCUCGCUGUGCCUCCUUGCUCCCAGCAUGGGCAUGGACUCCUGUUAUGCAGCAUGCCACAUUUUUUUCCUGCGGAAGACACCAAGAUUAGAUGAGAGGACGUGUUCGGCAGCAGAAGAGAAAGUCUCUGGCCAGCACACUUGAACUUUGGCCAGGCUGGCUUACCCAAGCAGUGAUUUUGGUCAACACACAACUUCUGUCCUGACCUUGCCAUCACAGAGGAAAAUGUCCAGUUAUGCAGCCUCCAGACUAAACCGCCACCAGCCCAAUGGAGACAACCUCAUCUGGGAGCUUGGGACUACCGAUGGGCACAGAAGAUUCAGCUUGGAAGCCAAUGGUUUAAUCGAAGCAUUGCAUGGAAGGUCCGGUCCUUGGCUGAUUGAUGGCUUGCUUGCUGACAGCUGGAAUGGCUCAUUCUUUGGGGCAGAAACCCAGUGGCAGCACUCAGUGAAGCAAGUGUUGAAGUGUUGACCCUUCCUGAGCCGGAACCUGCUGGGGAGAGUGAUGUGCUGGAGCUAUCCUUGUCCCAAGCAAUAGAGCCAUCCCAUGUUGAGAACAGCCCCAAGAGCAUGAUCCUGCACCCAUGAAGAACACA